rnacentral:rRNA from 1 species
UACAGAGGGUGCCAGCGUUGUCCGGAAUCACUGGGCGUAAAGGGCGCGUAGGCGGCCUGAUAAGUAGGGGGUGAAAUCUUGCGGCUCAACCGCAAGGCUGCCUUCUAAACUGUCAGGCUGGAGCACGGUAGAGGCAGAUGGAAUUCCCGGUGUAGCGGUGGAAUGCGUAGAGAUCGGGAAGAACACCAGUGGCGAAGGCGGUCUGCUGGGCCGUUGCUGACGCUGAGGCGCGACAGCGUGGGGAGCAAACAGG